UAAACUACCGUAAGUCCACAUAAGAGGGUAUGGAUGUGAAUUAACAGAAUAGAGAACAAAGGACAAAGAAAAAAAGGAAUAAAGAAUAGUGAAAGAAAGAGAAUAAUGGAAAAAAGUGUUGUCAGCAAGAUGAAAAGGACAAGUAUGCAGUUCAAAAUUCAAAAUGUGGAUAAGCUGAGGUUCAAGGUCUUACCUUUGCAGAUUUUCAUAUUUUGCAUGAAUGAAUUCAAAGGUUAUAUGAUGGACGGCAGAGAAAGAAAAAAAAAACUUUUCAAUUAUCCUGCUCCUGGAUAAAUGUAAAACAUCUUGUUUUUCGAAGGAUUGAAAUUCACCACCUAGAAUAAAUGGAGAAAACAUAAAAACAAGACCAGAAUAAAUUCAAAGACAAAAGUUGGAUCAGUUAUUAUUUUCA